UAGCUAGAACAAGAAAUCAACGGACGAAUCACACUCAAGAUUAUGGUAUGCUCCUUUGCCAUCGUCCGUUUCUUCUUUUUCUUCUUCUUCCUCUUUUUC
rnacentral:ribozyme from 1 species